rnacentral:misc_RNA from 1 species
GUGAAUUUUAGGGCGUCUACUUUGUAGAGCCUGACCUCCACUCUCUAACACUGUGCACUUGAUGGCAAAAUUUGUGGAAGCUUCUCACGAGGCGGACAUGUUUUUUGCGGCUUCAUUUUAAACAUUAGUUAAAGUAUGUAACGAAAUAUCGAAACAAAAA